rnacentral:rRNA from 1 species
UACAUGUGGGGCAAGCGUUGUUCGGAAUUACUGGGCAUAAAGGGUGCGUAGGUGGUUUGUUAAGUCAGGGGUGAAAUCCCGCGGCCCAACCGUGGAACUGCCUUUGAUACUGGCGAACUUGAGUGCGUGAGGGGUAGGGGGAACGAGCAGUGUAGCGGUGAAAUGCGUAGAUAUUGCUCGGAAGGCCAGAGCCGAAGGGGCCCUACUGGUGCGCAACUGACACUGAGGCACGAAAGCGUGGGGAGCGAACCGG